rnacentral:piRNA from 1 species
UUACACCUUGAAUUCAGCAUU